UAGCCGUCGGGAAACUGAGAGUAAUACCGUAUGUGCCCCGUCGGGGGAAAGAUUUAUCGCCUUUGGAUCGGCCCGCGUUGGAUUAGGUAGUUGGUGGGUAAUGGCCUACCAAGCCGACGAUCCAUAGCUGGUUUGAGAGGAUGAUCAGCAACACUGGGACUGAGACACGGCCCAGACUCCUACGGGAGGCAGCAGGUGGGAAUCUUAGACAAUGGGGAAACCCUGAUCUAGCCAUGCCGCGUGGACGAUGAAGGCCUUAGGGUUGUAAAGUCCUUUCAGCUGGGAAGAUAAUGACGGUACCAGCAGAAGAAGCCCCGGCUAACUCCGUG
rnacentral:rRNA from 1 species